rnacentral:rRNA from 1 species
GACGAACGCUGGCGGCGUGCCUAAUACAUGCAAGUUGAGCGAUGAAGAUUGGUGCUUGCACCAAUUUGAAGAGCAGCGAACGGGUGAGUAACGCGUGGGGAAUCUGCCUUUGAGCGGGGGACAACAUUUGGAAACGAAUGCUAAUACCGCAUAAUAGCGUUAAACAUAAGUUUUAAGUUUGAAAGAUGCAAUUGCAUCACUCAAAGAUGAUCCCGCGUUGUAUUAGCUAGUGGGUGAGGUAAAGGCUCACCAAGGCGAUGACACGUAGCCGACCUGAGAGGAGGAUCGCUCAAACUGGAACUGGGCCACGGUCCAGACGCCUACGGGAGGCAGCAGUGGGGAAGAUUGGACAAUGGUGGAAGUCCUUAUCCAGACAUGCCGGGUGUGUGAAGAAGGUCUCCGGAUGGUAAAGCACUUUAAGUGGGGAGAAAGGGAAGUAAGUUAAAACCGUGCUGGAGUGACGUUAACAACAGAAUAAGCACCGGCUAACUUCGUG